UGCGCGUGCUUACAGAUGCAUGUCGAACGAUGAACUAGCAGCUUGCUGGGGGGAUUAGUGGCGAACGGGUGAGUAACACGUGAGUAACCUGCCCUGGACUCUGGGAUAACCCCGAGAAAUCGGAGCUAAUACCGGAUAGGACCCUGGAAGGCAUCUUCUGGGGUGGAAAGUUUUUCGGUCUGGGAUGGACUCGCGGCCUAUCAGCUUGUUGGUGAGGUAAUGGCUCACCAAGGCGUCGACGGGUAGCCGGCCUGAGAGGGUGACCGGCCACACUGGGACUGAGACACGGCCCAGACUCCUACGGGAGGCAGCAGUGGGGAAUAUUGCACAAUGGGCGCAAGCCUGAUGCAGCAACGCCGCGUGCGGGAUGACGGCCUUCGGGUUGUAAACCGCUUUUAGUAAGGAAGAAGGGGAGCUUGCUCCUUGACGGUACUUGCAGAAAAAGGACCGGCUAACUACGUGCCAGCAGCCGCGGUAAUACGUAGGGUCCGAGCGUUGUCCGGAAUUAUUGGGCGUAAAGAGCUCGUAGGCGGUUUGUCGCGUCUGCUGUGAAAUCCCGAGGCUCAACCUCGGGCCUGCAGUGGGUACGGGCAGACUGGAGUGCGGUAGGGGAGAAUGGAAUUCCUGGUGUAGCGGUGGAAUGCGCAGAUAUCAGGAGGAACACCGAUGGCGAAGGCAGUUCUCUGGGCCGUAACUGACGCUGAGGAGCGAAAGCGUGGGGAGCGAACAGGAUUAGAUACCCUGGUAGUCCACGCCGUAAACGUUGGGCGCUAGAUGUGGGGACCUUUCCACGGUUUCCGUGUCGUAGCUAACGCAUUAAGCGCCCCGCCUGGGGAGUACGGCCGCAAGGCUAAAACUCAAAGGAAUUGACGGGGGCCCGCACAAGCGGCGGAGCAUGCGGAUUAAUUCGAUGCAACGCGAAGAACCUUACCAAGGCUUGACAUAACCGAGAACGCGCUAGAGAUAGCGAACUCUUUGGACACUCGGUUACAGGUGGUGCAUGGUUGUCGUCAGCUCGUGUCGUGAGAUGUUGGGUUAAGUCCCGCAACGAGCGCAACCCUCGUCGUAUGUUGCCAGCACGUAAUGGUGGGAACUCAUAUGAGACUGCCGGGGUCAACUCGGAGGAAGGUGGGGAUGACGUCAAAUCAUCAUGCCCCUUAUGUCUUGGGCUUCACGCAUGCUACAAUGGCCGGUACAAAGGGCUGCGAUGUCGUAAGGCGGAGCGAAUCCCAAAAAGCCGGUCUCAGUUCGGAUUGAGGUCUGCAACUCGACCUCAUGAAGUCGGAGUCGCUAGUAAUCGCAGAUCAGCAACGCUGCGGUGAAUACGUUCCCGGGCCUUGUACACACCGCCCGUCAAGUCAUGAAAGUCGGUAACACCCGAAGCCGGUGGCCUAACCCUUGUGGAGGGAGCCGUCGAAGGUGAUCGA
rnacentral:rRNA from 1 species